GGAUUAGGCAUGCAAGUCGAACGGGGUCCAUUCAGUGGCAACACUGAGGAAGAUCUAGUGGCGAACGGGUGAGUAACACGUGAGGAACCUAUCCCGGUCUCUGGAAUAACAAGUGGAAACAUUUGCUAAUACCGGAUGCCGUCGCUAUCUCUCAUGGGGUGGUGACGAACGAUUUAUCGGAUUGGGCGGGCCUCGCGGCCUAUCAGCUUGUUGGUGGGGUAAUGGCCUACCAAGGCAUCGACGGGUAGCUGGUCUGAGAGGAUGAUCAGCCACACUGGGACUGAGACACGGCCCAGACUCCUACGGGAGGCAGCAGUAGGGAAUCUUGCGCAAUGGGCGAAAGCCUGACGCAGCAACGCCGCGUGCGGGAAGAAGGCUCUCGGGUUGUAAACCGCUUUCAGUAGGAACGAAUUUGACGGUACCUGCAGAAGAAGGUGCGGCCAACUACGUGCCAGCAGCCGCGGUGACACGUAGGCACCAAGCGUUGUCCGGAUUUAUUGGGCGUAAAGAGCUCGUAGGCGGUUCAGUAAGUCGGGUGUGAAAACUCAGGGCUUAACCCUGAGCUGCCACCCGAUACUGCUGUGACUUGAGUCUGGUAGGGGAGUGGGGAAUUCCUGGUGUAGCGGUGAAAUGCGCAGAUAUCAGGAGGAACACCGGUGGCGAAGGCGCCACUCUGGGCCACGACUGACGCUGAGGAGCGAAAGCAUGGGUAGCAAACAGGAUUAGAUACCCUGGUAGUCCAUGCCGUAAACGUUGGGCACUAAGUAGAGGGGUUUUAAUCGUCGAC
rnacentral:rRNA from 1 species